rnacentral:rRNA from 1 species
GAUGAACGCUGGCGGCGUGCCUAAUACAUGCAAGUCGAGCGAACGGACGAGAAGCUUGCUUCGCUGAUGUGAGCGGCGGACGGGUGAGUAACACGUGGAUAACCUACCUAUAAGACUGGGAUAACUUCGGGAAACCGGAGCUAAUACCGGAUAAUAUCUUGAACCGCAUGGUUCAAAAGUGAAAGACGGUCUUGCUGUCACUUAUAGAUGGAUCCGCGCUGCAUUAGCUAGUUGGUAAGGUAACGGCUUACCAAGGCAACGAUGCAUAGCCGACCUGAGAGGGUGAUCGGCGACACUGGAGCUGAGACACGGUCAAGACUACUACGAGAGGCAGCAGUAGGCAAUCGUACGCAGUGGGGGAAAGUCUGACGGAGCAACGCCGCGUGAGUGAUGGAGGUCUUCGGAUCGUGAAACUGUGCUAUUAGGGGAGAACAUAUGUGUCAGUAACUGUGCACAUCUUGACGGUACCUGGUCAGGAAGCCACGGCUAACUACGUG